rnacentral:rRNA from 1 species
AACGAACGCUGGCGGCAUGCCUAACACAUGCGAGUCGAACGAUUGCCUUCGGGUGAUAGUGGCGCACGGGUGCGUAACGCAUGGGAAUCUGCCCUUAGGUUCGGAAUAACAGCUGGAAACGGCUGCUAAUACCGGAUGAUAUCGCGAGAUCAAAGAUUUAUCGCCUGAGGAUGAGCCCGCGUUGGAUUAGGUAGUUGGUGGGGUAAAGGCCUACCAAGCCGACGAUCCAUAGCUGGUCUGAGAGGAUGAUCAGCCACACUGGGACUGAGACACGGCCCAGACUCCUACGGGAGGCAGCAGUGGGGAAUAUUGGACAAUGGGCGCAAGCCUGAUCCAGCAAUGCCGCGUGAGUGAUGAAGGCCCUAGGGUUGUAAAGCUCUUUUACCCGGGAAGAUAAUGACUGUACCGGGAGAAUAAGCCCCGGCUAACUCCGUG